rnacentral:rRNA from 1 species
UACGGAGGGGGCUAGCGUUGUUCGGAAUUACUGGGCGUAAAGCGCACGUAGGCGGCUUUGCAAGUUAGAGGUGAAAGCCCGGGGCUCAACUCCGGAAUUGCCUUUAAAACUGCAUCGCUAGAAUUGUGGAGAGGUAAGUGGAAUUCCGAGUGUAGAGGUGAAAUUCGUAGAUAUUCGGAAGAACACCAGUGGCGAAGGCGACUAACUGGACAAGUAUUGACGCUGAGGUACGAAAGCGUGGGGAGCAAACAGG